CCACAAACAUAAUUUUAAAUUGUUGUUUGCAGUGAGACGAUUUUACACAGAGACAAUGCAGCUAAUGUGCAAGCUAGAGUCAGUGUGGCCAACACGCUAGAACUGUAUAAACAACUCGAUGAGUCUUAUGGUCACAUGAAUGACAAGUGGAAAAAUGAAAUGAAAGCCUUUACAGACAAAUUUGAAGCAAAAAUAAAGAAGAUAAAAUCUCAAACAAAGAAUGUGGUUCAAAAAGAAGAUGAAGUUAAAAUUGGUGAUUUUAAAUCAAAACACAGAUAGUUUACCAGACUGUAAGAACAAAAGAUGGGAAAUUUGGUUACGAUAUUUGAUAAUGCUGUUUCUCAUUCACUACAUGCACUGCCAUUGAUGAACUAAGAAAAAAUUUACCAAAGAAUCCAAGUGGUGUGUUAUUGUUUUAUUACAUUUUUGUAUGAAAGUACUGUUUCUGAUUAAAAAAAAAUAAGAACUAUCA